GGCGACUCCCUGAUGCCGCUGCCUCCUCACCCAGGUGUAUGAGCAGCUUUAUGACACGCUGGACAUCACCGGCAGCGCCGAGAUCCGAGCCCAUGCCACAGCCAAGGCCACAGUGGCUGCCUUCACAGCCAGCGAGGGCCACGCACAUCCCAGGGUAGUGGAGCUACCCAAGACGGAUGAGGGCCUAGGCUUCAACAUCAUGGGUGGCAAAGAGCAAAACUCGCCCAUCUACAUCUCCCGGGUCAUCCCAGGGGGUGUGGCUGACCGCCAUGGAGGCCUCAAGCGUGGGGAUCAACUGUUGUCGGUGAACGGUGUGAGCGUUGAGGGUGAGCAGCAUGAGAAGGCGGUGGAGCUACUGAAGGCGGCCCAGGGCUCGGUGAAGCUGGUUGUCCGUUACACGCCGCGAGUGCUGGAGGAGAUGGAGGCCCGGUUCGAGAAGAUGCGCUCUGCCCGCCGGCGCCAACAACAUCAGAGCUACUCGUGAGCCCCUGGGUCACCACACCCCUGGGGCCUCCACGGGC
rnacentral:sRNA from 1 species